AGGGUUUGAUCCUGGCUCAGAACGAACGUUGGCGGCGUGGAUGAGGCAUGCAAGUCGCGCGUGAAAGCUCCUUCGGGAGUGAGUAAAGCGGCGGACGGGUGAGUAACACGUAAUCAAGCUGCCCUUGAGACUGGGAUAACCGCGGGAAACCGCGGCUAAUACCGGAUGCACUUGCGGGAUCGCAUGUUCCUGCAUGGAAAUGGAGGGGACCCUUCGGGGCCUUCUGCUCAGGGAGGUGAUUGCGGCCUAUCAGCUUGUUGGUGAGGUAACGGCUCACCAAGGCUACGACGGGUAGCAGGCCUGAGAGGGUGGUCUGUCACACUGGGACUGAGACACUGCCCAGACUCCUACGGGAGGCUGCAGUCGAGAAUCUUCCGCAAUGGGCGCAAGCCUGACGGAGCGACGCCGCGUGGAGGACGAAGGCCCUUGGGUUGUAAACUCCUGUCACGGAUUAUGAAUGCGUAUCAGAUAAUAUUUGGUGCGUUGACGUAAGUCCGAGAGGAAGCACCGGCUAACUCUGUGCCAGCAGCCGCGGUAAUACAGAGGGUGCAAACGUUGUUCGGAAUCACUGGGCAUAAAGCGCGCGUAGGCGGUUCAGUAAGUGUGAAGUGAAAUCCCACGGCUUACCCGUGGAACUGCUUUGCAUACUGCUGAACUAGAGGACGGUAGGGGAGAGCGGAACUCCUGGGUGGAGCGGUGAAAUGCGUAGAUAUCAGGAGGAACACCGGUGGCGAAGGCGGCUCUCUGGU
rnacentral:rRNA from 1 species